UGGGGAAUCUUAGACAAUGGGCGCAAGCCUGAUCUAGCCAUGCCGCGUGAGCGAUGAAGGCCUUAGGGUUGUAAAGCUCUUUCGUGGGGGAAGAUAAUGACUGUACCCCAAGAAGAAGCCCCGGCUAACUCCGUGCCAGCAGCCGCGGUAAUACGGAGGGGGCUAGCGUUGUUCGGAAUUACUGGGCGUAAAGCGCACGUAGGCGGACUGGAAAGUCAGGGGUGAAAUCCCGGGGCUCAACCCCGGAACUGCCUUUGAAACUCCCAGUCUUGAGGUCGAGAGAGGUGAGUGGAAUUCCGAGUGUAGAGGUGAAAUUCGUAGAUAUUCGGAGGAACACCAGUGGCGAAGGCGGCUCACUGGCUCGAUACUGACGCUGAGGUGCGAAAGCGUGGGGAGCAAACA
rnacentral:rRNA from 1 species